rnacentral:rRNA from 1 species
GAAUAUUGGACAAUGGGGGCAACCCUGAUCCAGCCAUGCCGCGUGUGUGAUGAAGGCCUUAGGGUCGUAAAGCACUUUCGCCAGGGAUGAUAAUGACAGUACCUGGUAAAGAAACCCCGGCUAACUCCGUUCCAGCAGCCGCGGUAAUACGGAGGGGGUUAGCGUUGUUCGGAAUUACUGGGCGUAAAGCGCGCGUAGGCGGAUCAGAAAGUAUGGGGUGAAAUCCCGGGGCUCAACCUCGGAACUGCCUCAUAAACUACUGGUCUAGAGUUCGAGAGAGGUGAGUGGAAUUCCGAGUGUAGAGGUGAAAUUCGUAGAUAUUCGGAGGAACACCAGUGGCGAAGGCGGCUCACUGGCUCGAUACUGACGCUGAGGUGCGAAAGUGUGGGGAGCAAACAGG